UAGUUCACUGCUUGUUAUACUGCUUUCUCCAUCCUCAGUAUGUGGUUUGUCUGUUUACAGUGUAAGCUCUGCAAGGUAGACACCAUCACCUACUGUUUGCACAGUGCCUAGCCCAGUAGGUGAUGGUUCUCAAUUGGCCCUUAAGUGCUAUCAGAAUAAAAUAAACACAAAGCAUGGUGCUUCCCUAUUUUGUACCAUUGACUGGUGGAGCUAGGGGGUUGCUGGGAGCCUGAGGACCAUAUCUAAUCUGGGUGAAAUGGACCAUAUUACAACCACCUUAAUUCUUCAAAUAUAAGUGGAAUCUGAUAUAAUAGUCCCCCAGCUGCAAUGCUCUUAUGAUGCAUUAGACUAGCAUGCAUUGCAUACUGGUUCAGGUAGUUUCCAUGGGCAUGCAGGCCUGCUCACUGCACAGGAGCCUUCUUAACGGGACAAUUCUUAUGGGUCAGUUGUUUAUGAAAUGCUUGUGGUGUGUUAGACAGCAGCAAAUUAUAUCUUCUGCUCUCUGACCCUUCACCCAACAACCCUAUGCCAGGGACCCCCUGGAAUAUACAGCACACUAAAACAUUUACACAUAGACUAAGAAAAGCGGGGGACCAUGACAUGAUUUGGGUUUGCAUCAUUUCAUUGCAAAAAGUUUCCACUCAUGAAGGAAGGCUGAGAGGAGAGAAGAUUGAAGCCCAGCUUAAUACAGGGUCCUUGAUUGACAGCCUUAACAUAUGGAAGCUUGGGACAUAGACAUCAGGUUGCUACAGGGAAUCCCCCAUAGAAACCACAGCCUGAAGGUGCUGCAAGGGAGACAGGGAUACUGGAUAUUGCAAACAGGAGCAGAAGAGGAAGUUAUCAAUAACACCAUCUCUAGUAAAAUGAUAGUAGUAAUGUACAACCAAUUCCCCUUCAGCCCAAUUCUUUCACAUGCUCAUGUGCUCUUUUACAACUCCAUUAGAGAAGGGAUUCUCAACCUUUUUCUGAAACCCGCUCCUGUGACAUGCUAUAAAAACUCCAGGGCCUAGCACAGUUUGAAAAACAGCUUAGGGUGUAGGGAGGGGUAGUUAGGGACUGUACGCAGACAGUGGGUAGCUCAAGGUGCAGUGAAAGGGUAACUGGGGCUGUGUGCACACAUGGGGUGGCUAUGGGUGCAAGAGGGAGGUGGCAAGGGACUGGGUGUAGGCAGGGGGCAGCUCAGGGGGCAGGGAGGGCAUAGCCUCAGGGCGUAGGGAGAGGGUUAUUAGGGACUAUGUGCUGGGAGGGUGUCCCUGUUCCCAGAGGGGUCUGCCAGCCACUGACCUGGGUCUCCCCACCCAGGGGGCUCUUACUGGCUGCCUCUGUAGGAGCAAAGGGGGGGAGCUGAGAAGCAGCUUCAAACCAGGGCACCAGCAGGAGAGGGGGGAGUGCUGUUACUGCCUGCUCCAUGGCACCAGUUACAGCAGCAGCUGUCCCACAGUGCCCUGCUCCAGCUUCCCACCUCUGACCUGACCAAGGGGUGAGGAGAGGAGAUGGGGCAGGGGAGGCAUGGAGCUGCCCUUGGGACUGCCAUGCUCUUGUGCUAUUUUGGGGGGGGGGGCAGUGUGCACAGGGGGAAUGCCCUCCAUGUCCCCAACUCUGCCCAUGGCCUCAGGCCUUCUGCCCCACAGGGACCAGGGCUCUGGGCUUCAGCCCCUCAGGGGAAUGUUUACAUAAUAUAAGUAAGGUUACAGUUUAAUCACAGAAUCUGACUUCCAGCUACCUCCACUGUAGGCUGAAGUCACUGUCAGGAGCUGAGAACUGCAGGAUACUCCUGUCACCUCUAGUAGUCCCUGUAGCCUCCUGCUACUGCACAUAGCUCCUAGCCCCUGCACCGCUGACCAUUUCAGGCAGUAUAGGAAGCCCCAGCUCCCCAUUUUGUCAGGGAUAUUUUUAGUAAGAGUCACAGACAGCUCACAACUUCCAUGAACUUCUUUUUUACUGAAAAUAUUCCUGAUAAAAUCUUAGCCUUAAAUAUAAGCAAGGUCAGUAAAAGAUGGUAGAAACAGGCAUGAGAUGAGUAGUUUUAAAUAGCAGUACCAUUGUUAUGGAGUACAGUCUGUAGCCAUUUGCUUUUUAAGCCACCACCAGUAUUUAAGACAUCCACUUUGAAAAGGCAUCCUUCUUGGGGAGAGGGGAGAAUCAAGAGAUGAGAUGGUGGUAACUUACCACCACUCAGACAACUGAAGCAGCAUGGUGCUAGCACAUGGGAGCUCUCCCAUAGGAAAAAAGGUAUAGAACACCCUCCCUAAGUACAUUGGUGACUCAAGCCAGAGGAGGUAUAGAAUGCACGGACUAGCUUGACAAGAAUUCCUAGCUUCCCCCCCCUGGCUCUAAGCUUUAUUGUGCUAGUUGUGUGCCAUGAUUCUAAUGAAGUCACAUUCACAAGAUUUUGCACCAUCCCUGGUUCAGGAGUAGUGCAGCUGUUCCAUUGGUGGUAACACUGAAAGCAGCAUAAGAGGAUAAAGACUUUUAGACCCCAGCCUAAUGAGCACAAGCUGGCUGUACCAGUAAUUCCACCAUAGGGACCACACUAGCUCAGGGUGUUUAGUGACUAAACCAGUAUUCAACAAGAGUUAAUCCUAACAGCAUUUUCCCCCAUUCACUGAAGUCUAAUGACAUGUUUUCAUAAGUCCUUCAUUCCAGAUACCCAAUCCUGCCCCCAGACAUGCCUAGAUCUUUUCCUUCAGUUAAGGAGACUUUAAUUGUGACAGCUCUUUGACAGUCUGUCAGCAUGGCAGUAAUGUUACAAGGUAAGUUUCCAGUGCAUUCCAGCUUCAUGCUCCCCCAUUGAUGGAGAGAGCAUGUUCUCUCACAACCCCCUCAUGAAUCUUUAUCAAUGUACUCAAUUAUAUAAGAUAUAAGAUGCUCUACUGCAUUACACACAUCAACUUUACACAAAUGUAUACAAAAAAAUAUAUAAUAUAUACAGGAAGUGCCACAGUGCUCCUGUAUCAGGAACAAAACCCCUUUUUAUCAAAAAGAAUAACUCUGGUGCUACCAAUUCAGAGGAUCAGAGUCCUUUGAAAAAAGUCCAGAGCCCAUUAGUGUACUGAAUAAGUCUUUAACAUAAAUUCUGACACUGACCCUGCAUGCAGGAUGAUGAAUAAGACUGAACAUCUGGUUUAGGUCCAGUGUACCUGGAAUGAGAAAUGGCUGCUCCCUAUUUCUUCAGCCCAUGACCGGGAACCAGGCUAAGAGACCUUAAAAUGUCUGUGCAAGGGGGAAGACUUUCAUAGAGGGAAUGAUUCUGAGUAUUAUACUUAAGAUCCAUUUUCCUUUGCAUAUUUUUUCUAGACCAGACCUUGUUAACAUUGGUAGUGGAGUUUAAACUCAUCACACAUUGGCUAAGGGCUUACUCAUUCAGGAUCACAUUCUGAAAGACAUCAGGACUUCUCCGAUGUUUCCAGAGAGCCACAGAUUAAGGUCAUACAAAGGGUGCCUUCCUUCUAACACGACUGAGACAGA